GCAUUGGUGGUUCAGUGGUAGAACUUCUUGCCUUCCAUGUAAGAAACCUGGCUCCAUUUCUGGCCAGUGUG
rnacentral:tRNA from 1 species